rnacentral:rRNA from 1 species
UACGUAGGUGGCAAGCGUUGUCCGGAUUUAUUGGGCGUAAAGAGCUCGUAGGCGGUUUGUCGCGUCGGCCGUGAAAUCUCCACGCUUAACGUGGAGCGUGCGGUCGAUACGGGCAGACUUGAGUUCGGUAGGGGAGACUGGAAUUCCUGGUGUAGCGGUGAAAUGCGCAGAUAUCAGGAGGAACACCGGUGGCGAAGGCGGGUCUCUGGGCCGAUACUGACGCUGAGGCGCGAAAGCGUGGGGAGCAAACAGG